CGCGGCCUAUCAGCUUGUUGGCGGGGUAACGGCCCACCAAGGCAACGACGGGUAGCUGGUCUGAGAGGACGAUCAGCCACACUGGGACUGAGACACGGCCCAGACUCCUACGGGAGGCAGCAGCAGGGAAUAUUGCACAAUGGGCGAAAGCCUGAUGCAGCGACGCCGCGUGGGGGAUGAAGGCCUCCGGGUCGUAAACCCCUUUCAGGAGGGAAGAAGCGCAAGUGACGGUACCUCCAGAAGAAGCCCCGGCCAACUACGUGCCAGCAGCCGCGGUAAUACGUAGGGGGCGAGCGUUGUCCGGAUUCAUUGGGCGUAAAGAGCUCGUAGGCGGCUCGGUAAGUCGGCCGUGAAAUCCCGGAGCUCAACUCCGGGAGGCCGGUCGAUACUGCCGUGGCUAGGGUCCGGUAGAGGAGAGCGGAAUUCCCGGUGUAGCGGUGAAAUGCGCAGAUAUCGGGAGGAACACCCGUAGCGAAGGCGGCUCUCUGGGCCGGUACCGACGCUGAGGAGCGAAAGCUAGGGGAGCAAACAGGAUUAGAUACCCUGGUAGUCCUAGCUGUAAACGUUGGGCACUAGGUGUGGCGGAUUGAUUGACGUCUGCCGUGCCGUAGCAAACGCAUUAAGUGCCCCGCCUGGGGAGUACGG
rnacentral:rRNA from 1 species